ACGACGACGACGUUCGAGUUACGUGGGAUGUUCUUAUGCUUGACCCGGUCAAGCGUGAGACGUUUCGUAGUGGCGUGCUCAUCGUUAUUCUGGAACACAUUGUCGCAUCAGACGACCAGUUCAUGGGCACCGCCCUCAGCCGUGCGAAAAUCAACGCACCUCAUCCUCGCACAGGGAUGACUCUGGCUGAGAAAUUAGCGGUACAGACGACGUGGCAGCGGUUCUGCAAACGUAGAGAGAACGGUAUCGAGCUGUUUAUCGAACUGUUCACAUGGUAUCCUGAAUGCAAGCUGCUCUUCAAAAGUUUCUCCGAGCAGUCUGUCACUUCGCUGUUCAGCAACCCCCAAUUCCUUUGCCAUACUAUUGCCGUUUUGUACCAAAUAACUGCGAUGGUAGAUGCCUUGGACGAUGCAGAUCUGUUCGAAGAGCUGGUACGGAAGAACGCCACUCACCACGUACGACGACCAGGCGUCCUUUCCAAGCAUAUCAGCUCCUUUACCGAGGUGAUGAAGUCUGUGCUGCGCCAGAAGAUGGGCACCAGUAUGACGCCCGAUGCUACGAGUGGUUGGGAUAAGUUCCUGCAACUUGUGGUAAACAUUACGCAAGAGGUGUAUACCAAGGCUGCCGAUAGCCCUCAUCAUAAAGACAAGCAUGCCUUAAAAAGACAAUGAACUCAAACAGUUUUCCUCGGCGUAUGUUAUAAGCAACGACGCAUGAGGUGCUGUCCACGAGAUUUUAUUGGAGGUCCUCAGAUUGUUCAUGCUGAUCCAGUUGAUGUUGGUAAAGCUAUUCCAAUGUUAUUGUUGCGAGUUUGCUUUACAGACAUCAACAGUGGUAGCUUGUGAUAUCUAAUAUAUUGAUUGAUUGCUGAUGGAUUUCGCUGUAAAAAAUCUGAAACACG